AGCGAACGCUGGCGGCAUGCUUAACACAUGCAAGUCGCGCGGCCGGCAACGGCAGCGGCGGACGGGUGAGUAACGCGUAGGAAUGUAUCCUGAGGUGGGGGACAACCCUGGGAAACUGGGGCUAAUACCGCAUGGGAGCUGAGGCUCAAAGCCUUCGGGUGCCUUGGGAGCAGCCUGCGUCCGAUUAGCUAGUUGGUGGGGUAAUGGCCUACCAAGGCGGCGAUCGGUAGCCGGUCUGAGAGGACGAUCAGCCACACUGGGACUGAGACACGGCGCAGACUCCUACGGGAGGCAGCAGUAGGGAAGAUUGGACAAUGGCCGCAAGCCUGAUCAAGCAAUGCCGCGUGGGUGAAGAAGGUCUUCGGAUUGUAAAGCCCUUUCGGCGGGGACGAUGAUGACGGUACCCGCAGAAGAAGCCCCGGCUAACUUCGUGCCAGCCGCCGCCGUAAAAC
rnacentral:rRNA from 1 species